CUAAAGUUCAGAAAUCAAUUGUUCAUUUAGAUUCCUCUCGUAAAUCUGAGUUAAACAUUUCUAGUUAUCCAUCUCUGAAACGAAAUAAAUUUGCUGAUUCUUCUAGUAAAUAUAGUUUGAAUUUGACCCAGUCUUCUACCGGUGGUAAGCUACCUCUACAUGGUCCUAGGCGGACUGUUUUUCCUAGUCGUGCUAUGGGCGAUGAGUUUGAGAUUGAAAGGGCCAAAUUUAGAGUGAAUAAGUCUCAGAUUCUGAAUUAUAAGGCUAUAUGUAAUUUGGCUAUGUCUCGUCAAAGUGGUGAAGAUGCUAUUCUGUUUGGAGCUGUUCGUUGCACUUUCUGGUCUCCAAGCCUGGUGGUGUUGUGAAUAAUUUUGUCAUGGCUGCAUUCUGCUAUCAUCUAUAUUCCCAGCCUGGUGGUCAUCCUGAAACAUCUAAAUGCCAUUUUUUCUUCUCUAAUAUUGGUGAACAGCUACUAAAAGAUGUUGAUACUGCAAGUGAAGAUAUAUUGUCCAGAGCUUUCACUCGUUCCUCUAAGGCUAGGCCCCUUGAUCGUUCUAACCUGUUGAUAUUCCCUUGCUUCUAUGAUGAGAGUGGUUCGUUUUUAUUGUUGAUAUAAAGGAUCAGUCUUUUGUUUUUCUGGAUUCAUAUUAUCGGCUUCAAGAUGAAUACCAGGUUGAUGUGAGGGAUAAAUUGAUUCCCCAUUUCAAGUAUUGGUGGAAGAAGUUAGAAAUGGUUGAUAUUGGACUUGAUAUGUAUAAAUUGGUUUAUCCAUAUGUCCCUCGGCAGCCUGCUUAUAAAUUGUCUGAUUCUGGAGUGUAUGUUAUGAUGUUUCUAGAGUAUUGGAAAUCUCCUCGUUCUUGUCUUAUCUCUCUAUUCAAGGAUAGUGACAUCCCAAAUUUAAGGAUCAAGCUUGCUAAUGAACUUGUUUUUCCUUCAAAGAAUACUAGACGCAAGGAUUUGGUUACUAAUUAUAAGUUUGAGGAUGGUGAGGAUGCAUAGAGAUUGCUGUCUUUCGCCCUGAAGAAUGAAGAUGCCACUGUGAAUGUUUAGAAAAAUAGUAUCUACUUGUAGAAAUAUUCCUGACAUUUGUGAUGUCAGUUCCGAUAUGUAGAUAAUAGUAUAGAACUCAUAAUAGUAAUAGUUGUUGCAGAUGAUCUUGAAAUAUAAUGUUUCAAAAAUAAUAUCUAGUUGUAGAAAUGUUCCUGACAUUUGUGAUGUCACUACCGAUAUGUAGAUAAUAGUAUAGAACUCAUAAUAGUAAUGGUUGUUGCGGAUGAUCUCGAAACUGUAAUGUUUGCUGGUACAAUAUGAUAUAUAAUAUGGG